AGUGAAUAUUUCAGAAAAAUUACCUGACACGCCUACAGAUGAGAAAUUUGUUCAAACAGAUGACAUACACGACGAAAUUGAACCGACAUCAAUAAGCUGUGAGUUCCCCCAUGAAGCGCUAAAUGAACCGAGUUUAGAUGAUAUAGAAAUACCAGCUGUACAACAAUCUGUCGAAAUUAUAUAUACACAUGAACAAGUAAGAGAUGCCCUGACUCUUCUGAGGCAAAGAAAACCAGAUGAUAUGGAAAUACAAGCUGUAAAACAAUCUCUAGAAAUGGGAUAUACAAAGGAACAAGUAAGAGAUGCCUUAACUCUUCUGAGACAAAGAAAACCGGACCAUCAUUACUUUAGUCUUAAUGAAAUACUGAAUGCUUUAACAAAAAGGACAACAAGAAAAGCUGUGCCACAGAAUGAUUCAGGUGAAAACAAUUGGGUAACUGUUGAAAAGGAUGAUUCUGGAGAAUGGCAUGAACAGGAACGAAGCAAACACAAACAAAACAAAAAUAAAUGUAAAAUGUCUUGAUAAAUGUUUAGUUAAUAACAUUUUGAUCGAAGGACUUCAAUGCCAAUACCAAGGAGGAUGCAAGCAACGUCUUAUUACGAAUAAAUGUAAAUUCACUAAAAUUCUUAUUUUUGUGAAACCAUACCUUUUCUGAACUCAUGAGUAUGGACAGACUUCCUUUUAAAACACAAAACAGUUUUAAAGUGUGAUAACACACUUAUCUCCCUUUGAUUAUUAUUGUCUGCAAGUGAAGUGUCUAUCUUAAAUAUGUUAUGUACAAUUUUUCAUCAUCAUAAAAGGUAAUGCGCCUACGCGUGCUUAUAUGCAGAUACCUGUAAGAAAGACAAAUAAUAAUAUAAAUACAGGACUAUAAUUAUGCAGAUGCAUCUUUGUGAGACGGACCAUAUGCAAUAAAAUGUAGGUAACAUGCCUAUAUUUUAUGGACCGGGAGUUGAUUCUGUUUUUGAAAUUCAUCACUAAUAAUAACAUGAAUAAGUUGUGAGUCCAUGUUCAGAUUUCAGAAAGUAGGCGAGUUCUAACACAUAAAUCGGUAUAAAGAAGCUUCUAGAGGGGUGUAGUACAAUACAAUAAAGAGUAGGUCAACCUGACUCCAAGAUUUAUUAAGGGUCUUUGGAAAUCUGUAAUCAUAGAUUUAAACUGUUUUUUUAAUUGGCAUUUAUUGUAAUAAGGAAUUGGUAUAUUCUCAAUAAUUGUGUUAUUAGGCCUUAUUGAGAUAAUUUUAUUAUCAAAUUUUAAUUAUUUGAAAAUAUGGAGUAUAAGAAUCUUCAGAUACAUUUGUGACUUAAUUAUCAGCAAAUAAAAUAUGAAUAUUGUAUUUCAUUGAAUAAUAGUGUGAGAGUAAUCAGACUAAAGAAACAUAUAUUACGUUCUCUAUUUGUUGUCAUUGUUUUAUAAAUGAUAAGUAAUGGUCAUUGCAAUAAAUCGACGGUUUGGUAGUUAAAUGAAAUCCGUUGUAGAUUUCACUUUAAUUUGUAAAUUUCAUCAUAUAUACUGGUUAUUAUAAAUAUCAUAAUAAACCAAACUUAUUAAAUCAGCGAGUAACAUCAACUAGAAUGCAGAUACAGUUUCCCUUUAAGAUCUUCCUAUAGAUUGAAAAUGUAAUUAUUAUGAUAGUUUGUAAGAUUAAAACAAAAUCCAAAAUCGUAAAAG